GCUGGCGGAUCGGAGUCCAGACCUUCGGACUUCCUCUCUCAGCCCGGCGGCGGCGUGGCAGCCAAUAGGAUCACUCCUGGCGCGCACGCCCCGCCCACGACGCCCAGUGACCCCCCUCAUCAGGCAGCUACCGGCGGGUCACACCCCGUGCCGAGACCCCGGGCAUCCCCUCAACCCACACCCGCGGCGGCGGCGACAUACGUGGAACCCGAGCAAGGUGGCGCCGGCGGUGGCGUGCGGUUGUCUCCGGACGACUUCGCGCGUGCGCAUAAGCUGUGUAAGUUUGCCUGCUCUGCGCUACAGUACGAGGACGUGCCGUCAGCCGUGGACAACCUGCAGCGAUGCCUGCGCUUACUCAACACAGGCAGCGAGUGAGCGAGCAAUGGGGAGAGGUGGGGAGGAGCCUACGUGUGUGCGUGCGUGCGUGCGUGCGUGCGUGUGUGCGUGCGUGUGUGCGUGCGUGCGUGCGUGUCUUUCUUUAUAGGCAUACUGGUUCUGUCUUACUUGCACGUGCAUGCGUAUGCGUGCGUUCGUGCGUACGUAUGUGUAUUUUUUGCUAAGCUUGCGUGUGGUGUGUGUGAUGUGCUGUUACCUACGUUGAUCUGUUACUCGCAUAAUCAGCGCUCCUCGCUAUGCAAUCGUUGCUGCACGGUGCUGCCAUCUAGUGGCUACGAUUGCACGCUUGCGGUGGUAUGUAUAUAUGGGAUGGUCGUGAUGUAUGAGUGAGUGAGUAAACUGCCAAGUGCUAGCAACAGAGUCAGGCGUGCAUAAAGUUAGAGAGGGUGAGGGCGAGAGAGAGAGUGGGUGGAGGAAGAGAUGGGGGGG